rnacentral:rRNA from 1 species
GGCAUGCCUAAUACAUGCAAGUCGAAACGGUUUUUUGCCCAACUUCGGUUGAGCUUGAGAUAGUGGCGGACGGGUGAGUAACGCGUGGGCAACCUGCCCCAAAGACUGGGAUAACACCUCGAAAGGGGUGCUAAUACCGGAUGUGAUCCAGAAGCCGCAUGGUUUUUGGAGAAAAGGCUUCGGCCACUUUGGGAUGGGCCCGCGUCUGAUUAGCUAGUUGGUGGGGUAAUGGCCUACCAAGGCGACGAUCAGUAGCCGACCUGAGAGGGUGAUCGGCCACACUGGGACUGAGACACGGCCCAGACUCCUACGGGAGGCAGCAGUCGGGAAUAUUGGUCAAUGGGGGAAACCCUGAACCAGCAAUGCCGCGUGAGUGAUGAAGGUUUUCGGAUCGUAAAACUCUGUUAUAAGGGGAAGAAACCAGUGACGGUACCUUAAGAGAAAGCCCCGGCUAACUACGUGCCAGCAGCCGCGGUAAUACGUAUGGGGCAAGCGUUAUCCGGAACCACUGGGCGUAAAGGGUGCGUAGGCGGUUUUUUAAGUCAGAGGUGAAAGGCUACGGC